GCGGAGGAAAAGAAAAUAACAAUGAUUUCCCUAGUAACGGCGAGUGAACAGGAAAAAGCUCAAAGUUGGAACCUGUUUGGCCUAGCUAAACCGGAUUGUAAACUGUAGAAGUGUUUUCCAGGCAAGCCGGACCGAUAAGUCCUUUGGAACAGGGCAUCAUAGAGGGUGAGAAUCCCGUCUUCGGUCUGAGCAUUUGCCUUUUGCGAUACACUUUCAAAGAGUCAGGUUGUUUGGGAAUGCAGCCUAAAUUGGGUGGUAAAUCUCACCUAAAGCUAAAUAUUGGCGAGAAACCGAUAGCGAACAAGUACCGUGAGGGAAAGAUGAAAAGAACUUUGAAAAGAGAGUUAAACAGUAUGUGAAAUUGUUAAAAGGGAACCGUUUGGAGCCAGACUGGCUUGUCUGUAAUCAGUCUAAGUUUCGGCUUGGAUGCACUUGCAGGCUAUGCCUGCCAACGACAAUUUGGCUUGAGGGAAAAAACUAGGGGAAAUGUGGCCCAUUCGUGGGUGUUAUAGUCCCUUAGAAAAUACCUUGGGCUGGAUUGAGGUACGCAGCGAAUGCUAUUUGGCGAGUUGGCUGGGAAUAUUUUCUGAGGUGCUCUGGUACUGAGGUUGAUAUUCCUAGUUACACUUCUAUUCGCUUAGGUUGUUGGCUUAAUGACUCUAAAUGAC
rnacentral:rRNA from 1 species